GACGAACGCUGGCGGCGUGCCUAAUACAUGCAAGUAGAACGCUGAAGGAGGAGCUUGCUUCUCUGGAUGAGUUGCGAACGGGUGAGUAACGCGUAGGUAACCUGCCUGGUAGCGGGGGAUAACUAUUGGAAACGAUAGCUAAUACCGCAUAAUAGCAGUUAUUGCAUGAUAACUGUUUGAAAGGUGCAAUUGCACCACUACCAGAUGGACCUGCGUUGUAUUAGCUAGUUGGUGGGGUAACGGCUCACCAAGGCGACGAUACAUAGCCGACCUGAGAGGGGGAUCGGCCACACUGGGACUGCGACACGGCCCAGACUCCUACGGGAGGCAGCAGUAGGGAAUCUUCGGCAAUGGACGGAAGUCUGACCGAGCAACGCCGCGUGAGUGAAGAAGGUUUUCGGAUCGUAAAGCUCUGUUGUAAGAGAAGAACGAGUGUGAGAGUGGAAAGUUCACACUGUGACGGUAUCUUACCAGAAAGGGACGGCUAACUACGUG
rnacentral:rRNA from 1 species